ensembl:lncRNA
GGAAAAGCAACCAAUGAGCAGAAUCCAUUAGGGAUCUCCGUAUUUGAGAUAAGAUAAAUUCAGUCUCAGGAGCAAGAAGUGGAGCCAAUUGGGAACCUAAGCAAGAGUUUAGGACCCAGUGGGGAAUAUCUACAUUAAGAGAUAUGCCUAGGAAAUUUUGGAUCCAGAAAACUUUGGAAGGCUCACAGCAAAGCAAGGAGGAGUCAUAACAUUUUGGAUUCAAAACAGGGGCCUAAAUCACAAUGUAGGUUUAAGCCUGAAGGAAAGGCGGCUGAACCAAGGAAGAAUUUCAGAUUUCCUCUUAACCAUUCUGCUACGCUCCUGGAGUCCUGAGAAUUUUUCAGAACAUUUUCAGAAUCUGACUUCUUUGGUUGUUUUAUAUUUUGGGUUGGUUUUUCUUUUUUGUUGUUUGUUUGUUUGUUUUUCUUGAAGGAUCUGAAGGCAUAGCAUCAGUUAAUGGUAAGGCUCCAAAACCAAAGGACUAAAUGAAAGGCUCUUUAUAUUCUUUAAGUAGGCAUCAUGAGUGCAGAGUGAGACAGGGCCAGGAGAAUAUGCCUCGUGAUAUUUUUUGUGAGUUAGAGCUGGCAGUCCUGACACUGAGACUGAAGUUGCAGGUGAAUGAAAAUUAUCAAAGCUUUCCAAAUGCAUGCUAGAAGUCCUGGAUGCAUUUGAAUUGCUAAGGAGAUUAACUUUCGGGUCAGAAAAAGAAGAGCUUGGACCAUGUGGAAAUGUCAGAUUCGAGGUCAGAGCUGCAGCAUCACGGUAUGGUGUUGAGAAUUUCUAGCUUAGCAAACCGUCUGGAGCCUGGUGGGAAUACUGGGGCCAGCGUGAGUCAUCUGGGACUGCAGGCAGGAGGGGGCAGCUGCCAACCUGGCACAAAAAACCCAUCUCCAUCUGAAGGUGUUCUGAAGAUCUUCUACUGCACUAUCACGUCUGAAAUUUUGCAUUUGAAGUGGAAUUUAUCAAUAGCAGUUUUCAGCUGCUUUGCUAACUGAUUACACCUACAGUUCAGG